AAGCCAAAGAGAGUUGCAGUUCCGCCUACAGCUCAAAGUAAAGUCUAGUGAGGGGAAUUUGAAGAUCAGGAUAAUCCAUAAUGGCUGCAGAAUCCCUUUGUCUGAAUAGUACACUGAAACCGAUCUAGUCAGCAGAACCAAGAAACCCCAAUCAGGGAUCAGGACCUGUGGUGCUGGGCACACUACACACAUCAUAAAAAGGCAAUCCCUACGGCAAAGAAAUUACUAUUUUAGCAUAUGACAAAAGACAACCAAAAGAGAAAACAAACAAAGCAUUCCCACCUGUGCAUCGAACAUACUGAAAAGGACACCCUGCAGAGACAGAAUCCCAGUUUGCAAAUCUACUAUUACAGAACUAAAAAGACACUGCUUUGCAAGGUAGCUUCAUUUGUACUGCAUGGUACUGUUAAAGCAAUUCCAGGACAUCAUCAGCGGGAUUGCUAUAUAUAUAUGUUGGAGGAGGUUGACAAAGUGCUUUGCCACCAGUCCCGGAAGUACUGGAGCAAUGCUGUUAUUUGCUUAAUUCAAAGAACAGAUGAAAAAGGACUCAAGUGGAUUGAAUUGUUCUGUUCAAAGCUUGUAAGGCAGAUAUGAGCACUAUGACUAUGGCAAAUGUAGUAAAACCAUUUUUGCUUUCAGAUCCAAGAUCCACGUUCAAAUCAAAAUACAUU